CCUGGUGGCUUAGAUGGUAAAGAAUCUGCCUGCAAUGCAGGAGACCCAGGUUCCAUCCCCCUGGUCAGG
rnacentral:tRNA from 1 species